GAUGAACGCUGGCGGCGUGCCUAAUACAUGCAAGUCGAGCGAAUGGAUUAAGAGCUUGCUCUUAUGAAGUUAGCGGCGGACGGGUGAGUAACACGUGGGUAACCUGCCCAUAAGACUGGGAUAACUCCGGGAAACUGGGGCUAAUACCGGAUAACAUUUUGAACCGCAUGGCUCGAAAUUGAAAGGCGGCUUCGGCUGUCACCUAUGGAUGGGCCCGCGUCGCAUUAGCUAGUUGGUGAGGUAACGGCUCACCAAGGCAACGAUGCGUAGCCGGCCUGAGAGGGUGAUCGGCCACACUGGGACUGAGACACGGCCCAGGCUCCUACGGGAGGCAGCAGUAGGGAAUCUUCCGCAAUGGACGAAAGUCUGACGGAGCAACGCCGCGUGAGUGAUGAAGGCUUUCGGGUCGUAAAACUCUGUUGUUAGGGAAGAACAAGUGCUAGUUGAAUAAGCUGGCACCUUGACGGUACCUAACCAGAAAGCCACGGCUAACUACGUGCCAGCCGCCGCAGUAA
rnacentral:rRNA from 1 species